CUCGGAGGAAGCGGGUUGGAAGAGCUGGAACUAGGAAUGCCUAGGCCACCGGCAGGCACGACCUCAGGCACGACCACUCCAGGUCCUGGCGGAGAGUGAGAGGAGAAAGCCUGGUCUGUUCGCCUGCAUGAGCUGCCCCAGGCUUUGAAGAUUCAUCCAAGAGAAGUGACCCACACACAACCCAGACCCUUCAAGAAUCUACAAUCUGAAACUCACCAUUCACAGAGCUUAUUCCUUAUCUACAAGGAUCCCUGGAAUUGUCCUGGCUUAUCAUCGAGAGUGAGCAGGAGUCUCAAAUCCAUCAAUAUCACUGAUGAAGUCGUCACCAUUCAUUAACAGAGACUUGAUCAGCAGACAUUUAUUGAUUGCAAGACAUGUGCAAAGCACUCUGGAGGAUUCAGAGACAUUGCUGUCUGAAGGACUGACAUGUCUACUGCAUGACAAGUUCCAGCCCCUCCAAGCAGAAGGAGCCAUGUGGGACUGAGCUCUGGGUGGUGCAGACCCUGCUCAAGGACCUGGACCUACACAAAGGACCCUGGUGAAGAAUCGUGAUGUCAUGAUGUGCACAUUGGACAGUCUGACCUACGAGGGGGUUCUUGGUCUGUGGGGCUGGGCUGUAUGGAUGAGAGACCUAAGACAGUGGGUGAAAACCUGGCCCGUGUCUUAAUUUUAUAUAAAGUCAAACACCAAAUUGCUGAGUGACCUUGGGCAUGUCACAGGACCUCUCUAGGGAUUACUUUCAUCCCUUAUAUUAAAUAAGAUUACAUUUCUUCUUGGUGAA